rnacentral:rRNA from 1 species
UACAGAGGUCUCAAGCGUUGUUCGGAUUCAUUGGGCGUAAAGGGUGCGUAGGCGGCUUGGUAAGUUGGGUGUGAAAUCCCCGGGCUCAGCCCGGGAAGGGCACUCGAAACUGCCGAGCUGGAGUGCCGGAGGGGAGAGUGGAAUUCCUGGUGUAGCGGUGAAAUGCGUAGAUAUCAGGAGGAAUACCGGUGGCGAAAGCGACUCUCUGGACGGCAACUGACGCUGAGGCACGAAAGCGUGGGGAGCAAACAGG